UAGGGCAAUACCUAGUGAGCUGUUGA
rnacentral:piRNA from 1 species